ensembl:snRNA U1 U1 spliceosomal RNA
AUACUUACCUGGCAGGGGCGAUACCAUGAUCAGAAAGGUGGUUCACCCAGGGCGAGGAUUAGCCAUUGCACAAAUCGGCUAGUUUGACCUCUGACAAUUUCUCAAAUGCAGGAAUCUGUACUGCGUAAUUUCUGGUAGUGGGGGACUGCGUUCGCGCUCUCCCCUC